AAAUCAUUUAAAAAUUAAACAUUUACCAAAAAAAUACAGAAAAAUAUAUUUGUUUUGCUGCAUGUCAUGUGAUCUUUUACUGACAUCAGAGAACCGUGAAUGUGUUGGUAAAUUAUUGAAAUAUUACUUUAAAAUCUUAUGGAAACUUUCGGAUCAAAUGGGUUUGUUUUAUGAAAACGUUUGGGAAUCACUGACAUACAGGAAAAAUGCAAGGCUUGUGAAAGUGACAACCAAAAUGUGUGAUGCAUCCUGAAGUCCAAUGACAGUAAAGACUGACCAACUGACCAACUGACUGACCAAUGCUGACCAACGUUUGACAUUCAUGUAUGUAGGAGGCGUCUGUAGACUCGAGUGCGUGUGAGGUGGCGUGCCGUCCGCGCAGGCGCUGGUCCUGUCGUGUGGGAUCGCUGGAGCUCAUGGUGAAGUCUAUGCUGGAGCUGCGGCAGCUCGAUUCACUCUCUGAAGCUCCAGUCCAGAGCCGAAGCUGCGCUGAUCGACUGCGGGACGAGGAUCGAGGCAGCACCUCCAGCCUGCAGGAUUGGAGUCUCCGGCGUCCUCGUGACUCGGCCUGGCUGGUUCCUGUCGGCGCUCCUGAACCUGAGGGUGUGGUUCUGUACCCGGAUCACUGUCCCAGCACCAGCAGCCUGCCUGGACCGUCCUACCGGAUACAGGCUCUGUCUGAGACCAUCGAACAUGAGGAGAGAGCAGAAGAAGCUCAGAGUCCCGUCAGUGGAGCCUCCAUGGGCUACGGCAGCGGAGGAUCCAGUCCAGACCACCGACACCACGAUGUGGAGGCGCUGGGCUCUGACGAUGAAUCCUGUGAUGGUAGCAGUAGCACACGGCCGAUCUGUGAUUCUGAGAGUGUUCCGCAUCAGGACGUCUGGAGGAGAAGCUCUGAGACGCUGACGUACGGCAACAAUGCAGGGUCUCAGAUGAGAGCUGAAGGAAGCAUUGCAGCAUGCUUGCACAGCCAGAAGUCCUCUAGCAGGAUGGACUCGGCAUUUCCUCAUCAGUCUGGCAGAUCCAGUGUGGCAGUGAAGCCCACGGUCAGCGGCGUCAGGCCCCUGAUGGAGGACGCAGGAGACCCCGAUCGUCCAGAGCAGCGCCGCGUCCCGCAGAGGAGCCACCCGUACCUAAGCCGCGUCUCCUGCCCCGUCAGCAGGACCUCAGCUGGACUCCAGAAAUCUGCUUCAGCACACAGUCUGAGCAGCCACCGAAGGUCCCUGUCUCCGUCGCGUCUGCGGCGAGAGGCGCUGCUGAAGCUCAGUCUGGAGAAGCUCGCCCCUCAUCACGCGUCUGUCACAGCGCCGUCCUCCCCUCAGCCGUGGGACAGUCCCACCCAGAGCCGUGUCCUGCGCUCCUACAUGAGCCCCACCACCAGCUCCAUGGCCAAAACCAGCCGCUCGGCGUCCAUCGGGGACAGCCUGCAUGUGGGCAGCAGCUCCUGCGAGAGUCUGGUGAUCCCUGCGCCGUGUAGCCCGUCCUUCCUCACAAACACUCCCAAAGCGCUUCCUUUGAGAGCCGUCAGACCCCGCGUGUGUCAGCGCCUGAGCAGCCCGAGCAGAUCGGCUUCAUCUCAGAGCCUUCUCGCUGACCCGAGCUCUUCUUCAUCCUCCUCCUCCUCCUCCAGCACGGACCUCCAGCAGACGGCGGCUCACGCGGAGCGUCCUCGAGCGGCGGAGAAGGCUGACUCUGUGGCGUCUGACGCUCCUGAUGAUCAAGACGCACCGGUCGGUCUGGAGAUCUGCAGACGGGCCGCAGCUGAUCUGUGCAGCAGCGUGAGGACAGCGACACGGCUCUACAGGACGCUCAUCUCCCAUGACGCCGAGCGCAGUGCGGAGCAGCAGCAGAUGCGUCAGCUGAUGUCAGACACGCUGCUGCACGUGCGAUCGGAGCUGGAUUCAGUGUCCGGAGCCGUGAGGAUGGAGGAGGGAAAGGAGACGCUCGCGUUACUGGAGCAAUACUCACAACUGCUGCUGCGCUCGGUGGAGAGGAGACUCCUUCAGGACGAGUAG
ensembl:lncRNA